CCGUUUCGACCAAACAUUUCCGGUUCAACAUAAUUGCGACGCAACUAAAAUUCAUGCCAAAUUUAGCAAUGGGAUUCUUACCAUUACAAUACCAAAGAAAUUCAUCACAUGGACUGCAACAGCCGAACCUGUUGCAACCACGGUCAAGCCGAAGCCACACAAAGUUCAAGAGGACCCAAUUCCUUCAAAGCCGAGUUUGACAACACCGGCAGGCCCUCCGACAGACACCUCUUCGGAUACAAAGGGUCGGGAAGUUAUUUCUCAAACAGCUGCUGAUUCUGCUCAAGGUGAACAACAAAGGGGCAAGACAAGUGCUCAGGAAGCUGCUGCUGCUGCCGCGUUGAAGACAGAAAAGGCUACUUUCACUGCCAGAGAUGAAAAAGAAAUGGAUGACAAGAAUGGUCGUCCACCAUUAGCUCCUCCGAAAGGCACUGCAGCUGAGACAAAAGCACAAGAGGAUAAGGAGGUUGAGAAGAGGUUGAUACCGUUGACUAGUCCGGAAACAAGCAAAGCCGAGACUAAGUCUGAAGAGGGUGGUCAGGAUGGAAAGAGAGGAAAGGCUUCUGUCGAGAGUGUUUAUCGAACGGGGGUUGAAAACAAGGAUCAGAAAAAAGCAAAAGGGAAGGCUGAAGAUGAAGGUUCUAUUGCCGCACAUGUGAUGGCUGCUGCAAAUGAGGGUAUGAAAAAUCUCGGAAGCAGGAUGAAUGAUGAAGAGAAGAAGAUGUUGAUCAAUAUGGGUGCAGCGAUUCUAGUUCUUAUCGCACUAGGUGCUUCUGCAUCCUACAGUCUGUAGUCCUCUGGGAAAGGCAAAAACUAAGGCCGUCAUAUUUUCACAUUCCAUUACAAAUCUUUUAUUAGAUACUACACAAACACAUAAACAAGUAUUACAGCUUUUACAUUCAUUUUACCACCUCAGAUUUGAGAUCUAUUACAAUCUCAUACAACAUCUUCAAAAAAAAAUUCUUUUAUAUUUCACGUACUAUUUUAUUUCAAUAUAAUACAUCCGUUAUAUUUUCCCGUUAAAAAUUGAUGUGGCUGCCAAAUUUGUGCAAAAAUAAUAAUUUUUUAUGCAUUAAAAAUAUUAUAAUAUUGAUCCUAUUAUAAAAAAUUAAAAACAAAAAACACCAACCUAGAAACCCAUCCCCCGACCCUUCUCCCUCUCCUUCACUCUCUUCACCUCCCAUCCCUUCUCUCUCCCCAGAGACCCACCAACUCAUCCAUCCUCGUUCGUCGUCUGUCCCAUUUUCCCCUUCCAUUUGUUCCCCUCCUCUCCCUUCCCAACCAAAACCACAACCCACUCCCCACUGCCAACCCGAUCCGACCCGUUUCAACUCAUCCCGAACCUCUCCACCUUCACCUCUCUGGUCCUAUUCGACCCGCCCACAACGAGGAUAAUCCUAAUCUCGCGGCCAAACAACUGUUGCUCAACCUCUUCAGGUUGUCUGCGCCCAUUAUUCUUGAAUCUGGUUUAUAUUUUCCAGUUUUUUUUUUUUUUUGUUGGGUUUCUACCGAAUGGGGUUUUUUAUUUGGGUUGUUUGAUUUGGGGUUUUUGAUAUAGGUUUGAUUUGGACUCUUACCUUCACCGGCCUCCAUUUAUUUUAUUUUUUUAAUUUUUUUUCGGGAUUAGGGUUGGGUGCAUGUUGAUAUGGGGAGAGACAAGGGAGGGGAGGUGAAGAGAGUGGAGGAGAGGGAGAAGGUAAGACAUAGGUGGGUGGGCGGCCUGCGGUGGAGUUGAGGGGGAGGGGGGAGUUGCUGGGGAGGUGGGUAUGGGGUGGGGUGGGGUGGUGGCUUACGGGGGAGUUGGGAGUGGAUGGGUUUCUGGGUUGUUUUUUUUUUUUAAUUGGGUAAAUUAUUAUAAAAAUUAUUUUUUGGGUAAAUUACAUAGUAGUUCCUGAGGUUUGAGCUCUAUUACAACCCUAUACAACAUCUUUAAAACAUUUCACCUUAACCGCAGAAAAAAGAACCGGCGAGGGUCGCUGACUGUGCGGGGAGGCCGGCGAUGGUCCAUUUAGGAAUUUGCGGGUGUGGAUUGAGGGUUUUGGGGGUGGGAAAUGUGGGUUUUAGGGUGCAGAGAGAAAAGUUGGGGGGUUUGGAUUGUUGGACUUGAUCAGCCAGGGAGGGAGAAGACGGGAAGCAGCAGAGAAAUGCAGAGGGGGGGUUGCGGGUUUCUGGGUUUAUUGCGGGGUAGGGGGUUUCUGGGUUUGCUUGCGGGGUGGGGGGUUGCGGUUUUAGUUUUUUUUUUUUUUUUUUUUUUUUUUUUUUUUUUUUAGAAAAUUAAGGUUUAAAAAAAAGUUAGCACGUGGCAUCUAUUUGGCAGCCACGUGACAUAAAUGUGGUAGCCACGUCAGCACUUAACAGAUCAAUGGAUGAAAAAUGUAAUAGAAAUAUUAUUUUAAAAUAAAAUAAUACUCGAGGUAUGAAAGUGAAAUGUUUUAAAGAUGUUGUAUGGGGUUGUAAUAGACCUCAAACCUGAUAGGCUACUAUGUAAUUUAUCCUUUUUUUUGUCACGUGAUACAAAUUUGGCAGUCACAUCCGCGUGGAUCUUAUAUUUGUCAUGUCAUCACUUAACGGUUUACUUAAUACAUUUUUUAAAAAUUGACCCUACAUCUAAUGUAUGAAAUUGAAAUUGACCCUACACCUGAGGAAGUAAAAUGUAAUUUAUCCAAUUCACAAAGUUGUACAGUUGCCAUUAAUGAAAUCUCACUUCUUCUCGACACCACUCUUUAUACAUUAUUGUAAAUAAAAUUGUACAGUACCAAGACACAACGCCGAAGCACCGCGCGAACACUAUUACCAGUCUUUACUAAUUAAUCAUUUAUCAAUGAUCAUUUUUUGUUUUAGACCUAAGCAAUAAGAUAUUUUCUUUACUUUGAUUUAGGUCAAUGAAAAUGUGACAUGGUUUGAAGCCCACUUGGUUUGAAUGGGCCACCUUAUGUUGCCCGGCCCCAUGAAUUUUUCGUUUGCACAAUUGGUUCCUUCUCACCCUCCCACUACAGUCAGUACAGGGUCAAAUCCAAAGCCCACCCCAGGUUUCAAUUCGAUUCCUUCAUGCAGGCUUGCAGACUCUUCCCAUCCAAUACAAAUUGGGGUUGUCCAAUCUACACAUCAUUUUCAAUUUUCGGUAGUCGAAUCGAAUAAAUUAAAAAAAAUUAACAGACAAAAAUUAACAAGAACCGUGUGAGAAGUAAAAAUAAAUAUGUGAAUAGCACCAUUGAACACUAUUAACACAGAUUCAUGCAAAUGUGUUUAAGUAUGACCUAUGAAGCACAUAUACAGUGGCAUAAUACAAUAAAUUUGUAAAAAAUAGGAUAUGAUACGAUAUAAAAUCGCUUAUUAAAUUAUAUAUUAAUAAUAUAAAUUUUAUUGGAGGUUAACAAAAUAUCACUUGCCGAAAAUUAGAGCAGUUUACAAUAACGUCUUUGUAAAAAGAAAAUGAAAGAAGUGAGGAAGAUAAAACCCUAAUUGGUGGGUAAGGGCAACCAACCAACUUUAGUUUUAGUUUGCAGGUGAGGUUAUACCUCGUACAACACCAAGGGACGCUUGAAAUUGUAAAACACCACAAAGCCAAAGCAACCAAAAAGGAAUAUUGGAAGAGGAAUAGUCCCACUAAUAAGAAACCUCUACUCCCCAACCCCCCCCAUAUAAAUUGUCACGCAGGCCACCCAACAUUUCCUACAAGAAACCCAAAACCAAGCACCAAUAAUCCGGUCUUUAACAAAAGGCAGGCAAACAGGAGAGAGAAAGAGAAAGAGAGAGAGAGAGAGAUGUCUAUGGGACAUCGAGAGGGAGAGAUGCCUAUGACCCGCCCAAGACAAUCCCAUCGUCCCAUUUAUGAAGAUUUCCAGCCCCACUUUGAAUUGAAGGAAGAGCAGCAAGCUCACAUUGUACAAGUUCAUCUGCCUGGUCUCUUACUUUUCUCUUCCUACUUUCUUUCCUUACCUGACUCUCUACUCAUGUUGGGCGCUUGUAUGGAAUUGCUUCUUUAUAAAACAUUUUUGCUCAUUAGCACUUUUAGUAAAAGCGUUUUUAUUAGAAGCACGUCAAAAUUUUUUAUUAAAUUGCAAGUGCUUUUUUGAAUCCAAAAACACUUCUUAACUUUUUCUGCCAAACAUGAUCAUAACCGCUUUUGAUGAUUUGAAAGCGGUUUUUAGUUAUUUUAAAAUUAAUUGACUGUACCAAAUUACGUUGGUAUUAUAUUAACAAUCUACAUUAUUUUAUAGAGAGCGGGGAGAAUUCUCGACUCAUUGGACAACUGAACCGACCUAACUCACGCGUUGCAAAAUAUAUGGUUUAUUUUCAGGUUUUGUGAAGGAGCAGGCUAAGAUUACAUAUAUGCAUAACCCUGGUGUGAUUAGGGUUUAUGGACAAAGACCUCUCGACAACAACAAAUGGAGCCGUUUCGACCAAACAUUUCCGGUUCAACAUAAUUGCGACGCAACUAAAAUUCAUGCCAAAUUUAGCAAUGGGAUUCUUACCAUUACAAUACCAAAGAAAGUCAUCAUCACAUGGACUGCAACAGCCGAACCUGCUGCAAUCACGGUCAAGCCGAAGCCACACAAAGUUCAAGAGGACCCAAUUCCUUCAAAGCCGAGUUUGACAACACCGGCAGGCCCUCCGACAGACACCUCUUCGGAUACAAAGGGUCGGGAAGUU
rnacentral:lncRNA from 1 species